CUGGUAGAAAAUCUUUCUGUUUUUAAUAGGGGUCCACUUGAAUCGCUUGUACCACAUACUCAGAGCGGUCAGAAUAGUAAGGACAGUGAUAACUUGGAAUCCCAUCUUCUUACGAAUAUCCAAUUCGGGUUCGGAGGCCCAAUGAAGGAAGUUUACAACGUCCUUGGCAGCUUGGGCCGUAGUGGCUGGAGUACCGUCUUCAAACUCAACGGCAUCAUCGAAAAGUGGGCGGGCCAUAGCUAUUUGAGUACCAGGAAAGAAGGGGUUGAAGUUCAUACCGUCCGGAACUUCGACACCAGCAGGCGGUUCGGUAUAACCGGUUAAAAGAGAGUAGAUAUAGUCUUGACCACCAUGUCUACCACGAACGACGCAGGAAAGGUCGGGAGGUGCUGCACCGUUAUUGGAGGCACGUGCAGCUUCAACAUUAGGAUAUGGAGGUGGUAAAAAGUCGGAAAGUUUACCGGGGCGCUUAAACAUGUUUCCUUCAUCGUCAGGACCAUCUUCAUAUUCAACUUCACUAGCCAUUUGUUUUGCUUCAUCAGCAGUAUGAGUAACACCUACUAAGUGACGCCAAGCAAUUAAAUUGAGAGAAUGGCAGGCAGAACAAACCUCACGAUAAACCUGAAAACCACGACGUAAACUAGCAUGAUCAAAACCAGACAACACUUUGCUUUGGGGCCAAUCGUGUUGGAUAAAAUGGAGACCUUCUUCCUUUGGAGUGCCAGCGGACAAACUUGGACCAUACACGUUAUAAUACAAGGCUAUCAUGCCUACGGAAAGUAAUGAGCUACUAACCAAAGCAAUAUUUGAACCCUUGCUAUGUGUUUUUUGUGCGUUUUGGGUAAAUGCCUAAACCCCGUUAAUGAUCGUUCUUUUGUCAAAAGCUAUGCUUGCUUCCGUUUCCACGAAUAGCAGCCAUCACAUUUCACUUACUCGAGAGCCAAGUCUCGCAAAUUUUAAAAACUCAUUUUUUUUCUUUACAAAUUGAAACAUCUUCACGUUUCGCUCUGUUUUGACUCAAAUACUAGAAUUUGCUUAAAUUCCCUGUUCUUUAUUGGGUGAGUGGAGAUGGGUGUGGUUGGAAGGUGGUAGUGCGUCCGCUCCCGGGGUAUGCGUAGCGUUUCCCGACGAUAAUUGGCAUACAGGAAUCCUAUUCAAGUUUACAAUAAAAUGCAUUAUUUCCAACAUUCAUAUAAAAAUAUCCUAUGUCAAGCACUGAAAUGUUGCAACCUAUGUGUAACUUGUACCAACUGAUAUUUCAAGUAGAUCAUCGAAGAAAUGGUUUAUGGUUGAAUUAAAAGAAGUGACACGAUAUAUGAGUACUAAAUGCAAUAAUUAAUUACAGAAUGUAAUCCAUACUCUGUACCGGCAAUGCUGUAAGUAUAAAAAUUUUAGAUUCCACCAUACUAUGUAUCGAUCGGAAUCCGCCAAUUAGGUACUUUGCAAUUGGCAAAGACGAGCAGGUGAAUAAAGGUAUCUCUAGCAAUUUACUUUAUUAGUAUUUGUUUAAAAAAGUGACUCCCGAAAAAGUCGAGAAAGAAGAUUGAGUUUAGAAGCAAGAAUAGGUUUGAAGCAGAGAUUUAGACAUAAGAGUUUGAAAUGUCAAUUUGAAUACUGAAAGAUAAUUUAUAAUAGUUUGCAAUUUUUUGUUAUUUCCUUAAAGAAGGUGUAAAAGUUAGUCAGCUCCUUGUUGUUUUG
rnacentral:lncRNA from 1 species